rnacentral:rRNA from 1 species
UACAGAGGUCCCAAGCGUUGUUCGGAUUCAUUGGGCGUAAAGGGUGCGUAGGUGGCGCCGUAAGUCGGGGUGUGAAAUUUCGGAGCUUAACUCCGAAACUGCAUUCGAUACUGCGGUGCUUGAGGACUGGAGAGGAGACUGGAAUUCUCGGUGUAGCGGUGAAAUGCGUAGAUAUCAGGAAGAACACCGGUGGCGAAGGCGGGUCUCUGGGCCGAUACUGACGCUGAGGAGCGAAAGCGUGGGGAGCGAACAGG